AGCGAACGCUGGCGGCGUGCUUAACACAUGCAAGUCGAACGAUGAAGCCCAGCUUGCUGGGUGGAUUAGUGGCGAACGGGUGAGUAACACGUGAGUAACCUGCCCUUAACUCUGGGAUAAGCCUGGGAAACUGGGUCUAAUACCGGAUAGGAGCGUCCACCGCAUGGUGGGUGUUGGAAAGAUUUAUCGGUUUUGGAUGGACUCGCGGCCUAUCAGCUUGUUGGUGAGGUAAUGGCUCACCAAGGCGACGACGGGUAGCCGGCCUGAGAGGGUGACCGGCCACACUGGGACUGAGACACGGCCCAGACUCCUACGGGAGGCAGCAGUGGGGAAUAUUGCACAAUGGGCGCAAGCCUGAUGCAGCGACGCCGCGUGAGGGAUGACGGCCUUCGGGUUGUAAACCUCUUUCAGUAGGGAAGAAGCGAAAGUGACGGUACCUGCAGAAGAAGCACCGGCUAACUACGUG
rnacentral:rRNA from 1 species